GUUACAGCAUAUUGCCUUGACAAAGACCCACGGCUGAAUGGUCGAAAUGCAUUGGUUGCCGCAAGAGGGGGACCCCGCUACUUCUGUCAGGAAUAAGGGAACGUGGAGCCCGUUGCCUGAAGGGGAGAUCCCAGAUUGCCUACCCGGGGGACACCUGGUGACUAUUAAAAAUGCUAUUGAGAAUUGCUUUUGCACCAGUUCUCAAUACCUUCUGGACCAUCACCCAGACAGCCACCACCACUGCUGCCACCUUCUGUGAGGACAAGCAACACACAUAAUAUCUGCACAUGUCUCCAUGUGCACAGACAAUUGCUCGGCUGCUAAAAUGCACUCUUACUUUUUGGAUCACAAUCAGUCCAAUGGGAGUAUGGAUAACUAUAGUGGACUUUGUCUCAGAAUAUUACUGUAAACACUUUGUCUCAGAAUAUUACUGUAA